rnacentral:rRNA from 1 species
UACGUAGGGUGCGAGCGUUGUCCGGAAUUAUUUGGCGUAAAGGGCUCGUAGGCGGUUUGUCGCGUCGGGCGUGAAAACCUUGGGCUUAACUCAGGGCUUGCUUUCGAUACGGGCAGACUGGAGGUAUGCAGGGGAGAACGGAAUUCCUGGUGUAGCGGUGAAAUUCGUAGAUAUCAGGAGGAACACCGGUGGCGAAGGCGGCUUUCUGGACGACAACUGACGCUGAGACGCGAAAGCGUGGGGAGCAAACAGG